rnacentral:lncRNA from 1 species
UACCUAAUGUGGGAUCAUUUUAAUUGAUCCACAUAUAUUUUAUAUGCUAAUUACUCUUGUUUUUGUUUUUGUUUUUUUGUAGGAAGUCCUGGCUGAGCAAAAUUGGGAGUCCUAGUUCUCGCAUUGACCGCACGGAAUUUUCUAAUGAGAAAGCCAUCUCUAAACUUGAAUACUCUAAUUUUAGUAUUCGCUACUAAUGGAAGAGAAAUAAAAUUGUAAUGCUUACUUUGCACAAGAUACCAUAUAUUCUUAAGUCCAUAUUCUAGAACAAUAGUACCAGAGUCAGAUAUAAAAACAGGAACUUUCUGUUCUGAAAGCUGUAGAACUGUAGGUAACUAAAAAUGUCUGACACUGAAAUAAUUUUGCUCAAGUAUGUUUUUAGCAAGCAAAAAUAUAAUAUUCUAGUUAUAAAAUACUUAAUAUGAACACUCAAUUCAAGCUUGUCUCAUGGAAUUUUUAAAAUAAUUUUAGAUGGUUAACUCUUAAAUCUAGCUAAAUAACAUGUAUGCUAAUGUUCACUGAAAUUAAAAAUUCCAUGAGACAAGCUUGAAUUGAGUGUCUGAGAAAAUUCCAAUGCCUUCUAAAUAUAAUUUAUUAAAGCUGAGCAAUCUGUUAUUGGAGCCUUUAAAAGAACCACUGGUUAAAAUAAAUGUAUGUGAUGAUCAAUAUAAGAUCAUAUCAAUAAAGAAUUAAUUUUUAAAAUUCUGAUUAAACAUAAACAUGUUUCAGUUCUUAAGUGGGAACUACUUAUUGUCUUCUUUGAACUACAUUUUUCUGUAUCCUGAAGAAUCAGCCUUGGUGAUGGCACCAGUAAGAGCUCACAAUUACAGCAUAGUAAGUAGCAAGAUUCUUAUCUACUACCCUCAAUGGUUAUCCUAGUAAUCAGAAAACGAACUAAAAUCUGAACAAAUCAUACAAUAUUAUCCCCUAAAGUUGGGCUAUCAUUUGGGGGAGUCUUCAAAUGUAAGUGAUUAUUAACAACAGAGUAUUUUAACAGGGAAGUUUAUUUCUGUAUCAUAGAAUUAUAAUAUUGAAGAAGAAAGACCUAUCAUGGAAAACACUAAGGAAAAUUCAAAUGUUGUAGGUAUGUAGUAGUGCAUAUCUUCCAUGAUUUCCAAUUUUUUUUAAUAACAAUGGAAUCUUUCAUGAAAAUAAAAAUUGGUGUGGAAUUUAAUAUAUAAAAGAAGAAAUAGCAUAACUGGUGUAAUUGAAAUGGGGAUGAGGGAGCAAACCCUUGGGCCCUGCACAUUGAUCUCCCCCUCCUUCUCUCUUUUCUAUUUCCCUUGGGAGUGCAGGUUGUAAAUUAUCAUUUUAUCUAUGAAACAAAUGUCCACUACUAUACUCUAUGUCAUGGAGAAAAAAAUUCAGGCCUCUCCCCUCUACCUGCUGCAAGGUAAGAAUUAAGAGGUGAACAGUGGGCUGGAUUUGUUUACUGCAAAAGUUAACUCCAUGGAAAAUAAUAAAACAGACACCAAAUACAUAUAAGACAAUACAACAUAGGGAAUGGCAUUCCAAAUAUACUUAAAGGGACAGAGAACAUUGCUGUUGUUUAGUAUAUGUGUUGAACAUAAUGCAGGAGACUCUAUUAAGAUAUUUAUCUGAAUUUUGCUCUCCUUCUACUUGCUCACUCCAGGUUCCAGGAAGGUGAACAAGUCUUUGUGUUCCCUUACUUCAGAGGUUUUGGUGUCAAAUGCUCCUGAAGACAUUUUUUCUUCCAAGGUUUUAUUUCAAAGAGUGACUUUUGUUGUGUGUUGAGAAGAAAGAUAAACAUUGGGCCUCUAAGCAAGUAAAAGAGAAGCAGAAAUGAUGAGAGCCAAGGGCACAAGGAAAUUGUUCAGGACUUUAGAAAAAGAGCAAAGGCUGUACCUUUUCCAAGCCUUGGAGAACUGCACCUUUCUUUCUUGUAACACCUCUAGGGGUGGCUAAGCUGAGAAGGGAGCAGCUGUGGCACCCAGAGAAGCAGGAUCCCAGGCUUAGGGGCUCUCAGUCCUAGCAAGGUUCUGUCCCCCAAAGUGCUGGAAAGCAUUCUACAAACACCACAGUGGCUACAAGGGACCACAGUAAUAGUCCCUUGGAUAGUAGCUGGCAUAUAGUGGAUAUCAGAUAGGUCCUUCCCAAAUGUUUUCUCUGUAUAAGACCCUCUGUGUGGUCUUUCUGAGAGGGUCCAAUGCACCAGAGAGAACUAAGAUUUCACUUCCCAACUCCAAGUCAGAGGGGCCUUGAAGGCUCGAUUUGAUUUUGGGAAAAUGAAACAGACAUUUUUUUCACACUCAAGUUUGGAUACAGUCUUAUUGUCUACAUAUAAAAAGGCUAAGUGAUUUUUUAAAAGAAAUAUGAUCUCAGAAUUAACACUGAUAUAUUCACUUUCUAUUGUCCUGAUGGCCUUUUGUAAUUUCCUUCUCAACUUUCUUUAUAGAAAAAAUCAUGCUUUGCUGGAACACUCUUCUAACUACACAAAAUGAAUCACACUAACCAAGAGUAUUGAAUAAUUAAUAGAUCAUUCUAUUGCUGGGUGGAAAAUAUUGUUUAAGAUGAUUGAAAAAAUAGGUGUUGUGAAAGGUAGAAAGCAAGAGAAAUAAAUAUAAAGCAAUAUAAAAAUGUGUUAGGCCAGAUGCGGUGGCGCACACCUGUAAUCUCAGCUGAGGCAGGAGGAUCUUGAGUUGAAAAUCAGCUUCAGCAACUGUGAGGCACUAAGCAACUCUGUGAGACCCUGUCUCUAAAUUUAAAAAAAAAAUGUGUUAGGUAGACCAGAUAACAUAACUUAA